CUGUACACUAAUGUCAGCUAAAAGGCACAGAGAGCAUGCUGUGAGCAAGUGCAAGAACCAAACCUCCUAAGUUUCAAGGACACCAAAUGAAGGAAAACGUCUGGAGACAGACCCUCUGUGGAGAUCCAGUUUUGUUCAUGGGAAUAAGUCUCAGAAAGCUUCAGCAAUUUCUCUGAAGAUGAAGCAGAAAGAAUGCUGUACAAACAAGAUCCUGAAUGCCUACACAGCAUCUCUUGGUUUAGAAGGAGAUAGCCUUCUCUCAGGGGAGAAGCUUUGUUGUCCAUGCUCCACAGAAGUCCUCCUUGACAAGUUGCUGACUUUCAGAGAGCCUGAUGGUUCUGCCACAUUCCUUUGGUUUCCAGUAGUGCUUAACACCAAGACACAUACUUUUUAAAGCAAUAACUACUAUGUGAGCUCAAGCGUCAGUUACAUAUCGCUCACUUGGUGCCUGAGUCUAUGAAGAUUUACAAUGUUGGUAUCUUUGCCUUUUAUGAAAAUAAACUGGAUAAUACAUAUGUGCUUCACAGCAGCUUUUGAUUAAGAGUGUAUCCCCCAUGGAGGGUCUCACUCUCCCUGGGGAGGG